CCUAACACAUGCAAGUCGAACGGUAACAGGAAGAAGCUUGCUUCUUUGCUGACGAGUGGCGGACGGGUGAGUAAUGUCUGGGAAACUGCCUGACGGAGGGGGAUAACUACUGGAAACGGUAGCUAAUACCGCAUAACGUCGCAAAACCAAAGAGGGGGACCUUCGGGCCUCUUGCCAUCGGAUGUGCCCAGAUGGGAUUAGCUAGUAGGUGGGGUAACGGCUCACCUAGGCGACGAUCCCUAGCUGGUCUGAGAGGAUGACCAGCCACACUGGAACUGAGACACGGUCCAGACUCCUACGGGAGGCA
rnacentral:rRNA from 1 species